UGCCUAGUGCACCAAAGAUGCUUCAUGUGUUUGGCCCAGAUCCCAGAGGGAAUGAUUCUGAGGAUGAAGCUGUCUUACCAACAAGAAAACAAGUGCACCAUACUGGAGCUGGACCAGAGAGGCCAAGCGUCCCGUAGCCUGCACCAGGGAAGGAUUUCAUCGACUGACCUGCACCAGAGAAAGACUGUUUCCUCUGAGCCACAUCAGUUGAUAAGAAGACCACAAACCAGUCUUCAUAUAUCACACCUAGGCCUACCACAUCCAAGGCUGAACCAAAUCUGCUACCAUUAGCUGAUCGCCAGUCUGUCCAAAACAUGGAGGAGCGGCUCAGAAAUAGUGCUGACCUCAAAAACCAUCUGAGAACUGCACUGGCUCUUAAAGGAGGGGGAGACGUUAAAGAGUGUAAAGAGUGUCAUGUGCAACCUUAACACUCUCUCGCCAAGAAUGUCAACAUGCGCGGUAUAAAUGGCAAGAUUGGCUUCCAGCACCUGCAAAUAAAGGAUGUUGUAAUUGAAGUCCACGGUGGGAAUGAUGGACUGCACGGACAGUGCUGCUUCAUUUGGACUUUUGUGCCCUUUGUUAAUUUUUU